rnacentral:rRNA from 1 species
GAUGAACGCUGGCGGCGUGCUUAACACAUGCAAGUCGAACGAAGCACUUUAUUUGAUUUCCUUCGGGACUGAUUAUUUUGUGACUGAGUGGCGGACGGGUGAGUAACGCGUGGGUAACCUGCCUUGUACAGGGGGAUAACAGUUGGAAACGGCUGCUAAUACCGCAUAAGCGCACGGCAUCGCAUGAUGCAGUGUGAAAAACUCCGGUGGUAUAAGAUGGACCCGCGUUGGAUUAGCUAGUUGGUGAGGUAACGGCCCACCAAGGCGACGAUCCAUAGCCGAGCUGAGAGGGUGACCGGCCACAUUAGGACUGAGACACGGCCCAAACUCCUACGGGAGGCAGCAGUGGGGAAUAUUGCACAAUGGGCGAUAGCCUGAUGCAGCGACGCCGCGUGAGCGAAGAAGUAUUUCGGUAUGUAAAGCUCUAUCAGCAGGGAAGAUAAUGACGGUACCUGACUAAGAAGCACCGGCUAAAUACGUG